GGUAAUAUGUCAUUGGAUGAAACAAUAUAUCCUCUAUACUUCACGGAUUCACCUAUUUGAAUUUUGGGUUUUGUAAAGUUCUUCAGGGUAAAAAGAGAAUAUGAGGAUUUAGAUCGAUGAUCUUCUUUACUCCUUUCCAACCUUAUUACUCUGUCGCCUCCAAAAAAAUUCAUCACCGGAAGCGUCCACUCUCAUUGGAGCUGUGGAAUAUCUAAAACAUCCAAAAGGUGUAAGGAAUGUGGUCGGGUUGCGAGAUCUUUCAUCGAGAACAACUUGUCAAUAUCCCCUUGGGAUCCAAUACAACUGAGUAUUUUGAUGAUGAUGGAAUUAAAGAUGAUAGUUCUGAUGGAGAUGGGAAUGGAUGAAUAGGGCAUUUAAAGAAACGGUUAAUAUUUUGGAAAGUUGUAUCCCCCGUCGUUGAUACUGUCUUAAGGAUGAUAAAUUCAUUUGAAGAGACUUGAGGAAAAGAUUAAUAAUAUCCUCCGUCGUGGCCUCUUCUUCUUCCCAUUCCAACCCCUAUUGAAUCUCGUGUCCACUUCUUGUAAGGCAGACUCGAUUUUGGACUUUCUUCAUCAUUGCCUUUGUUUUUUUCCUCCAAUGUUAAGGAAUCCCCUCCUCCCAUAAAGUUCUUAAGUUACAUUUCAAUGAAAAUAAAGAUAUAUUAUACAAUUUGUUAUAAAAUUAAGCCUGAUGUUUCAACCUGUAAAAGUAAAUACAGAUGAAAGCAACUCUUCUAUAGAAAAAUGUAUUUUUCAGUUGGCUGCAUAAUGAAAUAAGUCAAUUUUUAAUUGAUUUUUAAGCAUAUCUAUUAAAUAUAAAUGUUUUCCUA
rnacentral:lncRNA from 1 species